rnacentral:tRNA from 1 species
GGGAGUAUAGCUCAAUGGCAGAGCACUUGCCUGGUAGGCAUGGAGCUCAGAGUGUACUCCUC